GAUGAACGCUGGCGGCGUGCCUAAUACAUGCAAGUCGAGCGAACAGACGAGGAGCUUGCUCCUCUGACGUUAGCGGCGGACGGGUGAGUAACACGUGGAUAACCUACCUAUAAGACUGGGAUAAUUUCGGGAAACCGGCGCUAAUACCGGAUAAUAUAUUGAACCGCAUGGUUCAAUAGUGAAAGACGGUUUUGCUGUCACUUAUCGAUGGAUCCGCGCCGCAUUAGCUAGUUGGUAAGGUAACGGCUUACCAAGGCAACGAUGCGUAGCCGACCUGAGAGGGUGAUCGGCCACACUAGAACGGAGACACGGACAAGAGGCCUAAGGGAGGCAGCAGUAGGGAAUCUGCCGCAAUGGGCGAAAGCUUGACGGAGCAACGCCGCGUGAGUGAUGAAGGUCUUCGGAUCGGAAAACUCUGUUAUUAGGGAAGAACAAAUGUGUAAGUAACUAUGCACGUCUUGACGGUACCUAAUCAGAAAGCCACGGCUAACUACGUG
rnacentral:rRNA from 1 species